GCCCCGCCUCUUGCCCUCGCUCGCCCGUCCGCCGCCGGAGCACCUGCAGCAGCAGGAGAGGAUCGCGCAGGAUCGCACAGUGAGACGGCAGCAUGCCGACUGGAAACACCAGCGGGGGUCACACAAGGGAGCGGCUAGCGGCACGCAGCCUGCACGGUUGGGCCGGGCCCAGAGCCGAGUCCUGAAGCUGGUGGUUACUUUCCGGGGGGUGCUGAGCCGGCUGCGGCCGGGUCAUGUGCAGCGCGUAACUUGCGGCUGACAACAGACGGCACCUGCAACUCUGCUCCCGGGGGUGAUUGUGGGGCAGCAACAUUCCCAUCACCUGGCCCCACGUCAGCCGGCUGCAGUGCGGUGGUGCCGU
rnacentral:lncRNA from 1 species